UACGGAGGGAGCUAGCGUUGUUCGGAAUUACUGGGCGUAAAGCGCGCGUAGGCGGCUUUGUACGUUAGAGGUGAAAGCCCGGGGCUCAACUCCGGAAUUGCCUUUAAGACUGCAUCGCUAGAAUCCGGGAGAGGUGAGUGGAAUUCCGAGUGUAGAGGUGAAAUUCGUAGAUAUUCGGAAGAACACCAGUGGCGAAGGCGGCUCACUGGACCGGUAUUGACGCUGAGGUGCGAAAGCGUGGGGAGCAAACAGG
rnacentral:rRNA from 1 species